UAGUCCACGCCGUAAACGAUGGUCACUAGCUGUUCGGACUUCGGUCUGAGUGGCUAAGCGAAAGUGAUAAGUGACCCACCUGGGGAGUACGUUCGCAAGAAUGAAACUCAAAGGAAUUGACGGGGGCCCGCACAAGCGGUGGAGCAUGUGGUUUAAUUCGAUGAUACGCGAGGAACCUUACCAGGGCUUAAAUGUAGGAUGCAUAGAGUAGAGAUAUUCUUUUCUUCGGACUUCUUACAAGGUGCUGCAUGGUUGUCGUCAGCUCGUGCCGUGAGGUGUCAGGUUAAGUCCUAUAACGAGCGCAACCCCUGUCGUUAGUUGCCAUCAAGUAAAGUUGGGGACUCUAACGAGACUGCCGGUGCAAACCGCGAGGAAGGUGGGGAUGACGUCAAAUCAUCACGGCCCUUACGUCCUGGGCUACACACGUGCUACAAUGGUCGGUACAGAGAGCAGCCACUACGCAAGUAGGCGCGAAUCUUCAAAACCGAUCUCAGUUCGGAUCGGAGU
rnacentral:rRNA from 1 species